rnacentral:piRNA from 1 species
UCCAGUCCUCAGAAAAUCUCUAUAUGA